rnacentral:lncRNA from 1 species
AAAUAAAGGCAACAGUAGUAUACUGCUGUUCAAACUCAUAAAUCCAUGGACAAAAAACAAAAUCGGGGUAACAAACUAAAACUGAGGGAAACGCAUUAAAUAUAAGAGGAGAACAACGACACAACACUACAAUGUAACACACACAGAAACGGACCAAGCAUCAGACAAAAUCCCACGAGAAUAACAAAUAUAACAGCAAAACCAAAUACAUGAAUUUGGGAUAGACAAGUACCGUGACACGUCUUAUCGCAAUGUGAAUUUACACUCAAAAAUAAGAGAAAACAAACGAC